AAAUAGAUACCCUGGUAGUCCUAGCCUUAAACGAUGGGUACUGGGUAGAAAGCGCUCCGAUAGCGCCUUCUGCCGUAGCGAAAGUGUUAAGUACCCCGCCUGGGGAGUAUGGUCGCAAGGCUGAAACUCAAAGGAAUUGACGGGGGCUCACACCAGCGGUGGAGCAUGUGGCUUAAUUCGAGGCUACGCGAAGAACCUUAUCCUAGAUUUGACAUGCACGGAUUAGCCGGUGGAAACAUCGGUGACGCGGCUUGCCGUGGAACGUGCACAGGUGCUGCAUGGCUGUCGUCAGCUCGUGUUGUGAGAUGUCGGGUUAAGUCCCUUAACGAGCGAAACCUUUGUCCUUAGUUACCAGCGGUUCGGCCGGGCACUCUAAGGAGACUGCCGGUGUCAAGCCGGAGGAAGGUGGAGAUGACGUCAAGUCCUCAUGGCCUUUAUGUCUAGGGCUGCACACGUGCUACGAAUGGGAGGUACAAAGGGACGCAAGUUCGCGAGAACAAGCAAAUCCCAAAAACGCCUUCCUCAGUUCGGAUUGCAGG
rnacentral:rRNA from 1 species